rnacentral:rRNA from 1 species
GACUCUCGACAACGGAUAUCUCGGCUCUUACAUCGAUGAAGAACGUAGCGAAAUGUGAUACUUGGUGUGAAUUGCAGAAUCCCAUGAACCAUCGAAUCUUUGAAGCAAGUUGCGCCCGAAGCCAUUAGGACGAGGGCACGCCUGCCUGGGUAUUG